GAUGAACGCUGGCGGCGUGCCUAAUACAUGCAAGUCGAGCGAACAGACGAGGAGCUUGCUCCUCUGACGUUAGCGGCGGACGGGUGAGUAACACGUGGAUAACCUACCUAUAAGACUGGGAUAACUUCGGGAAACCGGAGCUAAUACCGGAUAAUAUAUUGAACCGCAUGGUUCAAUAGUGAAAGACGGUUUUGCUGUCACUUAUAGAUGGAUCCGCGCCGCAUUAGCUAGUUGGUAAGGUAACGGCUUACCAAGGCAACGAUGCGUAGCCGACCUGAGAGGGUGGUCGGCCGCACUGGAACUGAGGCACGGUCCAGACUCCUACGGGAGGCAGCAGUAGGGAAUCUUCCGCAAUGGGCGGAAGCCUGACGGAGCAACGCCGCGUGGGUGAUGAAGGUCUUCGGAUCGUAAAACUCUGUUAUUAGGGAAGAACAAAUGUGUAAGUAACUAUGCACGUCUUGACGGUACCUAAUCAGAAAGCCACGGCUAACUACGUG
rnacentral:rRNA from 1 species